UACGUAGGGUGCGAGCGUUAAUCGGAAUUACUGGGCGUAAAGCGUGCGCAGGCGGCGCCGCAAGUCGAGUGUGAAAGCCCCGGGCUUAACUUGGGAACUGCCUUUGUGACUGCAUGGCUAGAGUACGGUAGAGGGGGAUGGAAUUCCGCGUGUAGCAGUGAAAUGCGUAGAUAUGCGGAGGAACACCGAUGGCGAAGGCAAUCCCCUGGACCGGUACUGACGCUCAUGCACGAAAGCGUGGGGAGCAAACAGG
rnacentral:rRNA from 1 species